rnacentral:rRNA from 1 species
AUUGAACGCUGGCGGCAUGCCUAACACAUGCAAGUCGAGCGAACGGCGGACGGGUGAGUAAUUCCUGGGAAACUGCCUGAUGUAGGGGGCUAACUACUGGAAAAGUUAGCUACUACCGCAUAACCUCCUUUCUGCCCACAUGGGAUGAGCUAGUAGGUGGGGUAACGGCUCACCUAGGCGACGAUCCCUAGCUGGUCUUAGAGGAUGACCGGCCACACUGGAACUGAGACACGGUCCAGACUCCUACGGGAGGCAGCAGUGGGGAAUAUUGCACAAUGGGCGCAAGCCUGACGGAGCCAGGCCGCGUGUGUGAAGAAGGCCUUCGGGUUGUAAAGCACUUUCAGCGAGGAGGCGGUACUCGAAGAAGAAGCAACGGCUAACUACGUGCCAGCAGCCGCGGUAAUUC